AACGAACGCUGGCGGCAUGCCUAACACAUGCAAGUCGAACGAGACCUUCGGGUCUAGUGGCGCACGGGUGCGUAACGCGUGGGAACCUGCCCUUAGGUUCGGAAUAACUCCCCGACAGGGGUGCUAAUACCGGAUAAUUUCUUCUGACCAAAGAUUUAUCGCCUUUGGAUGGGCCCGCGUUGGAUUAGCUAGUUGGUAGGGUAAAAGCCUACCAAGGCGACGAUCCAUAGCUGGUCUGAGAGGAUGAUCAGCCACACUGGGACUGAGACACGGCCCAGACUACUACGGGAGGCAGGAGUGGGGAAUAUUGGAAAAUGGGCGAAAGGCUGAUCCAGCAAUGCCGCGUGAGUGAUGAAGGCCUUAGGGUUGUAAAGCUCUUUUACCCGGGAUGAUAAUGACAGUACCGGGAGAAUAAGCUCCGGCUAACUCCGUG
rnacentral:rRNA from 1 species